UGUGGGAGGGGGCUUGCUCCCGAUGGCGGUGGCCCUGCCGACUAAUGUGUCGACUGAUUCACCGCUAUCGGGAGCAAGCCCCCUCCCACA
rnacentral:misc_RNA from 1 species